CAGCCGCCGCGGUAACACGAAGGGUGCAAGCGUUAAUCGGAAUUACUGGGCGUAAAGCGCGCGUAGGUGGUUUAUUAAGUUGGAUGUGAAAGCCCUGGGCUCAACCUGGGAACUGCAUCCAAAACUGGUGAGCUAGAGUACGGUAGAGGGUAGUGGAAUUUCCUGUGUAGCGGUGAAAUGCGUAGAUAUAGGAAGGAACACCAGUGGCGAAGGCGACUACCUGGACUGAUACUGACACCGAGGUGCGAAAGCGUGGGGAGCAAACAGGAUUAGAUACCCGCGUAGUCCCUGUCUCUUAUAC
rnacentral:rRNA from 1 species